rnacentral:rRNA from 1 species
GACGAACGCUGGCGGCGUGCUUAACACAUGCAAGUCGAACGGAAAGGCCCUGCUUUUGUGGGGUGCUCGAGUGGCGAACGCGUGAGUAACACGCGAGUAACCUGCCCCUGACUUUGGGAUAACUUCAGGAAACUGGGGCUAAUACCGGAUAGGAGCUCCUGAUGCAUGGUGGGGGAUGGAAAGUUUCGGCGGUGGGGGAUGGACUCGCGGCUUAUCAGCCUGUUGGUGUAGUAGUGGCUUACCAAGCUUUUGACGGCUACCCUGCCUGAGAGGGGUACCGGCGACAUUGGGACUGAGGUACGGCCCAGACGCCUACGGGAGGCAGCAGUGGGGAGUAUUGCACAGUGAGGGGGAGCCUGAUGCAGCGACGCCGGGUGCGGGAUGACGGCCUACUGGUUAUAAACCACUUUCUCCUGUGACGAAGCGUGAGUGACGGUAAUGGGUAAAAAAGCACCGGCUAACUACGUG